UGAGGAAUAUUGGUCAAUGGGCGUAAGCCUGAUGCAGCGACGCCGCGUGAAGGAUGAAGUAUUUCGGUAUGUAAACUUCUAUCAGCAGGGAAGAAAAUGACGGUACCUGACUAAGAAGCCCCGGCUAACUACGUGCCAGCAGCCGCGGUAAUACGUAGGGGGCAAGCGUUAUCCGGAUUUACUGGGUGUAAAGGGAGCGUAGACGGCUUAGCAAGUCUGAAGUGAAAGCCCGCGGCUCAACUGCGGGACUGCUUUGGAAACUGUGUUGCUGGAGUGCCGGAGAGGUAAGUGGAAUUCCUAGUGUAGCGGUGAAAUGCGUAGAUAUUAGAAGGAACACCAGUGGCGAAGGCGGCUUACUGGACGGUAACUGACGUUGAGGCUCGAAAGCGUGGGGAGCGAACAGGAUUAGAUACCC
rnacentral:rRNA from 1 species